GACGAACGUUGGCGGCGUGCUUAAUACAUGCAAGUCAACUGAAGCAGUGGUAGCAAUAUCGCUGUGGAGGUGGCGCACGGGUGAGUAACACGUAGGUAAUCUGCCUCCAGGUCUGGCAUAACUCCGGGAAACCGGGGCUAAUAGCAGAUGAUGCAGCGGCUCGACAUCGAGACAGUUGUUAAAGCUAUGGCGCCUGAAGAUGAGCCUGCGUCUGAUUAGCUAGUUGGCGGGGUAACGGCCCACCAAGGCAACGAUCAGUAGCUGGUCUGAGAGGAUGAUCAGCCACACUGGAACUGAGACACGGUCCAGACUCCUACGGGAGGCAGCAGUAAGGAAUAUUGCUCAAUGGGAGAAAUCCUGAAGCAGCAACGCCGCGUGAGGGACGAAGGGCUUUUGCUUGUAAACCUCUGUAGUGAGAGAAAAAAAUCCCAAUCUUUGGGACAUGAUGGUAUCUCAAAAGUAAGCCCCGGCUAACUACGUG
rnacentral:rRNA from 1 species